ACUACUGACCAGCCUAAGGUUAAGGAGCUAACAGAGGACUGAAAACAAUAAAUGAAAAAGAAAAUCUCUGCAAUCUCUAAUUCCCAGUUUGCACAAGCGUAGUCUGAUAGAUAUGCCGGACGUCUCCGUAUUCGGUCGGAGCGACGCAACUCCUGUGCUGGUGUCAGAAACGGACACGCUGGUUCUUCCUGGCCUUCAAGACACUCCCCCGAUGGCCACAAUGACUCCGUCCCGGGCUGAGGUUCUGAUGUUUGAGGGAGAUGAAAACUGUUAAAAUUUGGAAUCAAUGAAAUAGAAAAUUAUUUCAAACUGACAAAGUGAUACCGAAGUGCAAUACGGAUGGAAAUGCCACAUAAGCAAUUACUGGUUGAAAAAGGAGUAAACAAGCCUGCUAGAUGACUUCAUAGAGGACAUACAACUGGGCGAUACCCUGCCACAACAAAUGGGCUUACCAAGCGAGAGAUUGAUGAUAGUGAGAAGAGAUGUCACUGACAUAUCCUCUCUCCUCCACCCCCAGAUCUUUCCUGUCCCAAAGCAUCUUUAUCAGAAAAACAAUUGACACCUUCCUGCUGUUUUUUUGCUCAGUCCAUAAAAGAGAAUUUCCAUGAUUUAAGGCAGGAGGAAAGGGCCAGUCUGUAGGCACGCCGCACGGCUGCAAAAUCUUUGGUUUCAAUAAAAGAUAUUUAGAGGCAAUAUUAUCUAUCCUAAGAAAGAAAGAGAAAGAAAAGAAAGAGAAAGAAAAGGAAGAGAAAACAAGGUG